UUUAGUCCAAAUGUGCGAGACACCCAUUGACGGCGGUGGUGACAGGCUCGGGCAGCCAUUGGCGGCGGCUGUGCCAUGGCUAUGGUCGGGGGAAAGGAGAGCUUGUGUGGAGACGGGAGGGGGAGAUGCGGAGGGUGCCGGCGCGGCGCGGUGGCGGACGACAUGGCCGUGGUCUUGAGCCACUGCGGCCGUAGGGUUCUGUAGAUAGGGGGAAGGGCGAGGGAGAAUCGGGGGUUGAGACGGCGGUGGCGGUCUUAGACGUUGCUCGCCGGGAACUGCAGGAAGGGAGGAGAGGGCGGAUUGCGUGAAAGAGAGGGAGGAGCGGCGAUUUCGCCGUCCCCAAGGAAGGCGGCGGACUGUGUUGUGAGAGAAUGGGGAAGAGGAAUUGAUUUUAGGUUUAGGGAAUUGGUUUUAGGUUUUAGGCUUCAGCCGUUACAUCUCUCAAAUUGUGAGUAAAAAGCCUUUUCAGAG
rnacentral:lncRNA from 1 species